rnacentral:rRNA from 1 species
CCUACGGGAGGCAGCAGUGGGGAAUAUUGGACAAUGGGCGAAAGCCUGAUCCAGCAAUUCCGCGUGUGUGAAGAAGGCCUUCGGGUUGUAAAGCACUUUAGUGGGGGAAGAAACAGCUUGGCCACACCAAGCCUUGACGGUACCCCAAGAAUAAGCACCGGCUAACUCUGUGCCAGCAGCCGCGGUAAUACAGAGGGUGCAAGCGUUAAUCGGAUUUACUGGGCGUAAAGGGUGCGUAGGUGGCUAUUUAAGUCGGAUGUGAAAGCCCGGGGCUCAACCUCGGAAUUGCAUUCGAUACUGAGUGGCUAGAGUUCGGUAGAGGGCGGCGGAAUUUCCGGUGUAGCGGUGAAAUGCGUAGAUAUCGGAAGGAACAUCAAUGGNGAG